GACGAACGCUGGCGGCGUGCCUAAUACAUGCAAGUAGAACGCUGAAGGAGGAGCUUGCUCUUCUGGAUGAGUUGCGAACGGGUGAGUAACGCGUAGGUAACCUGCCUGGUAGCGGGGGAUAACUAUUGGAAACGAUAGCUAAUACCGCAUAACAGUAGAUGUUGCAUGACAUUUACUUAAAAGGUGCAAUUGCAUCACUACCAGAUGGACCUGCGUUGUAUUAGCUAGUUGGUGGGGUAACGGCUCACCAAGGCGACGAUACAUAGCCGACCUGAGAGGGUGAUCAGCCACACUGAGACUGAGACACGGCCCAGACUCCUACGGGAGGCAGCAGUAGGGAAUCUUCGGCAAUGGACGGAAGUCUGACCGAGCAACGCCGCGUGAGUGAAGAAGGUUUUCGGAUCGUAAAGCUCUGUUGUAAGAGAAGAACGAGUGUGAGAGUGGAAAGUUCACACUGUGACGGUAACUUACCAGAAAGGGACGGCUAACUACGUG
rnacentral:rRNA from 1 species